rnacentral:lncRNA from 1 species
GUUUUUACUAAUGAAGAAUGUUUAAAGGUGUCAAAAAGCCGGGUGUUAGAGCCAAGCGGUCUCGUUUCACACCACCGAGACGGUCCACGAGUUCCUAUUAGGCUGGAAGACUCUAUUUUUGAAACAGUGUGUGAUCGUCCCCAUCUAGUGGCUCUAAAACAGAUUGAGAUAGCCCCCAAGUGGACAGUGGGAAGCCCUACCUGCAAACCUACUCUACAAACAGGCUGCUAAGCCCAGGAAGACAGAGAAAGAACACACAUCAGUACCACUCUCCUUGAAAUAUAAGGCCACAUGGGAAAUGCUGGCCUAUGGUGCGGGAGGAGGGUAGAUACCCAAACCAGGAUUAAAAAGCCAACCGACCCUAUUUACACGUAAGAUAUUGGUUCUCUCCUCUCUUCUUCCCACCCCACCCCAGACAUGCUCCAAUCACCACCUACAUGCCUGAAGCUGAAUUUGGAAUUCUCAGCCACUUUGGCACCUGCUCUAGAACAACUACGGUGAUAGGCAGAGAACAAGUCCCCACCCGCUUGUCUCCCAUCCCAGCCCUGCCACUCACUGAGGGGCAUGCAUAGCUCCAUGUAGACACCCUGGUUUCUAUCCAAGCUCUAGUCACACAUCCUGAUGCCCUUCAGAUGCCAGCACCCAGGUGCCCUUUGGACAAUCACAGUGUGUCCUGUGAAAAUGAACCCAGAGAAGUAGGACCUUGGUAUAUAAUGCAGACUGACCCCAAAUGCUUGCUCUUUCUACCACCGCCUCCCACAUGCUGGGAUUACAGAUCCUCACUUUCAUGGUUAAAACUGCCUGUCUGCUCAUAAAAAACACACCCGGACAGAAGCUGAACAAAGAGAGAACUGUUAUUAAUUUUGAUAUCAAAGAUUGUAAUGAAGGUGGGGGUGUGCAUAGGCCCUUGUUACAGUUGACCAUGAAUCUGAUGACACUUAUAACAGAUUUCUCUAGACCAAUGGUUCUCAACUUGUGAAUCCAGACCUUUUUGGGGGGAGUUGGAUGACUCCUUCACAGGGGUUGCCUAAGACCAUAGUAAAACACAGAUAUUUACAUUAUGAUUCAUAGCGGUAACAAUGAAAAUAAUUUUAUGGUUGGGGGUCACCACAACAUGAGGAGCUGUAUUAAAGGGUCACAGCAUUAGAAAGGUUUAGAAUCAUUGCUCUAGACAGUCCAAGUUUCAAAUUUUUGACCUGAUAUUUGUGAACACAUUAUUAUGCUAGCCAGACUUUUGUUGAUAUUUAAGCUUCAUAACAAUCACUAUGAAAAUGGAGGCAGGCUAGGUAGGGUCCUAGGAACUCUUCCCUGGAUGCUGGAUCUGCCUGUGGUGCCACAUUCAUCACUCCUGACCUAGAGGUGAACCUGCUCGUCUACUAUGCAACUCCACACUGUAAAAACUAAGGACUGGAUGGUGUCAGAGAGUGGCUCAACCAGGGGGAAAACAUCAAUCUCAACUUGGACCAAUUCUUUAAUCACUAAAUGCGGCCCUGCCAUAGAGUUAUAGGCUAAGGCAAUCUACUGGUUAAUACAUUUGGAAAGUCCAAUGCUAAAACUGUCAGGUAUUAUAUUUUUUAUUUAAUAAUACCUUUAGUGUUUAAUUUAAAGCAAUGGGUUCUUUUUUUCCUGUGUAUUGUAGACACAGGGCUAAUGGUUUUGAUUUUAUUAUCUGUGCUUCCCUCUAGUGGUGGACAGAAGAUGCACAUCUAGGUGGGUGUGACAGCCUGUGUCAGGCUGGAAGUUAUCAUACAUUAUAAUCAAUUCAAUAACUUUAUAG